GAUUUUUCGAUUUGAAUUUUCCUGGUACGAUUGAAAACGUACAUCAAAAUAACAUGAAAAUACGCAAGAAAUGGCAAAAAAGGGAAAAAAAAUCUCACCGAGGGUCGGGUUAGGGUUCUGGCAUGGUGGCGCUGCUGUGCUUUGCCGCCUGCCCCUUUUCUUUGGCGAUGCUAUCUCUCGAUCGACCUGAAUUUGGCCGAUUUUUGGUGAAAAUUUGCUUAAAUCAUGGUUAGAAUGUGUUUUUUGGAGAGGGGAAGAGAAAAAUAAGGUCUUACUGGCAGUUUUGGUCCUCCAGUGCAGCGGCUCAACUGAGCUCUAUCGUCUCUCCAUCGCAGUUUGUGGCU
rnacentral:lncRNA from 1 species